ACCAAGUAUUACCAAAUAUACUCAAUGUGUCAGGAAAAUAUACUAUCACAGUAUCGAAAAUGUACUAUCGCAGUGUCAUAAAUAUACUAUCACAGUUUUGAAAUUAUACUAUCACACAUAAGCACUGCCGCUGUGAUGCAUCUACUCCCUUACACAUCACUCUACUCCCUUACAGAUCCAUCAUCCAAGCCAUACAAAGAAUGAAAAACCUUCAAUUCCACAUUGGACGUUGUUGUCGACGGUGCCUAGCUCAGUUUCCAUAUACUUAUUGUUGUGGCUAUUGACAUUUCAACUCCUGCUUGGCAUUAAUUUGAAGAUUACGACUAGGAAAUCCAAGAAGACCGGUACAAGUCGCCGAGGAAGCCGCCUGGCCAUGGAUCUAGGUGGAUCGUGUUAAGGUCGAGAGCUCGUCGGAGAUGAAUCGAAUCAAAAAGAGAGAGACCGGAGCUUCUUCGUCGUCAUCAGGCGAGUAUCAUACAACAAAAACCCCCAAAAUCAAUCAAAAACAGUCGGAUCGGAGCAAAUCAGAUACGAAUUCAAAGACUAAGGAGUAGAAGUACCUCAGAUAUGGUGUUGAUGUGGUUGACGUCGACGGCGAAGGUAGGGUUCCGGCGAUAUCGUAGAGGGAGAGUUGGAAGACGAUGACCAUCGCUGCCUAAUCGUGGUUGAAAUCCAGAAGCGGGGGAGAUGCAAUCAAGGCCGAAGCGGAGGUCGUCGAGGAGUCGAGCUAGAAGUCGCGUCGAGGCGGCCGAUGGCUUUGUCAUGGCGGCGGCNNNNNN
rnacentral:lncRNA from 1 species